AAGUCGUAACAAGGUUUCCGUAGGUGAACCUGCGGAAGGAUCAUUAAUACGCUUUUGUUUGUAACAAAACAAAACGUUUUAAACUCCAAAAGAAAUAGUGGAAAUAUAACUUCCGGAUGCGAAUGUUGGGAACUGAGUAAAAUCGGUUCUUUGAAAAAGGGACUUCAAGUAAUUGACACUUCAGAGUAGAGCAGUGAGGUGAAAUUCUCUUUAAUGAGAGUUUGGUUCUGAAAAACAUUUGUAUCCGGUUAUCAUAAUCUGUUCUACAACCUCCAAAAUAUCAAACAAUAAACCCAAUGUACAACAACUUGAACUAAACAUUUUUUUGUCGUCCGCUUACACACUUGUUGUGUGAGAAGAUACUGCAAAGAAAAAACCUGAACUUAAGAACAACUCUUAACAACGGAUAUCUUGGUUCUC
rnacentral:misc_RNA from 1 species